GACGAACGCUGGCGGCGUGCUUAACACAUGCAAGUCGAACGGAAAGGCCCUGCUUUUGUGGGGUGCUCGAGUGGCGAACGGGUGAGUAACACGUGAGUAACCUGCCCUUGACUUUGGGAUAACUUCAGGAAACUGGGGCUACUACCGGAUAGGAGCUCCUGCUGCAUGGUGGGGGUUGGAACGUUUCGGCGGUUGGGGAUGGACUCGCGGCUUAUCAGCUUGUUGGUGGGGUAGUGGCUUACCAAGGCUUUGACGGGUAGCCGGCCUGAGAGGGUGACCGGCGACAUGGGGACUGAGAUACGGCCCAGACUCCUACGGGAGGCAGCAGUGGGGAAUAUUGCACAAUGGGCGGAAGUCUGAUGCAGCAACGCCGCGUGCGGGAUGACGGUCUUCUGGUUGUAAACCGCUUUCGCCUGUGACGAAGCGGGAGUGACGGUAAUGGGUAAAGAAGCACCGGCUAACUACGUG
rnacentral:rRNA from 1 species